rnacentral:rRNA from 1 species
UACAGGGGGGCAAGCGUUGUUCGGAAUUACUGGGCGUAAAGGGCUCGUAGGCGGCCAACUAAGUCACACGUGAAAUCCCCAGGCUUAACCUGGGAACUGCGUGUGAUACUGGAUGGCUUGAAUCCGGGAGAGGGAUGCGGAAUUCCAGGUGUAGCGGUGAAAUGCGUAGAUAUCUGGAGGAACACCGGUGGCGAAGGCGGCAUCCUGGACCGGCAUUGACGCUGAACAGCGAAAGCGUGGGGAGCAAACAGG